GUUUCCGUAGGUGAACCUGCAGGUGGAUCAUCGCCAUUCCUUUUCGGAGGUCUCCGCUAUACUUUCAUAGCAGGGCGAUAGCUGAUACUUGAUGCUUGUAUGCACUGAAGUCCUUCGACUGCAGUGUGCUUGUAUUGGCACCCACAAAUUACACUCUGCAGAGGUGCUCUUAUUUGACUGGAUCGUUCGUAGAGUUGCGGUUUACUAGUCGAAUGCGGCUUGAUUUUCGAAUCGCUGCUUGAGCUCAAAGACAAUGCCUCGGUGUCGCCUCACCCGUUUUAACUGCUGGCGUAAAUAGCUUCUUCGCCUCAAAAGAUUUUCUAUCGAGCAGCUCUGAAACAACCUUUCUAUUUAUUAAUUUACGUUUGUCAACUGGUUCUUUAUUGAGCUAGUUAAUACUGACAAGCUUUAGCGAUGGAUCGGUCGAUUCCCUUAACGAUGAAAAACGCAGCAAAAUGCGUCAUUUGCCAUGAAUUGCAGACACAAUGAAUGGUAAAAUUUUGAACGCACAGCACCGUUGGGUUUUCCCUUCGGUACGUCUGGUUCAGGGUCGUAUAAUUACUAUCAAGCAUGCCUGUCGCUUGGUUUGUCGGGAAGUUAUUGGUUGCUUGCCUCUUGCAGUCGGUACCUUCCUUAGUUUCGAAAUGUAGCAACAUUCGUUGACGCUCGCGUUAACGUUCUAUAGGUAGACUUCAAGUCCCUGCUUGAAACUUACUCGUGCAUUUGAGUCUAGUUUCGAGCGGCCUGUGGGACCAGUUGUCAGUACACCUUUGUUCUACAACCUGAACUCAGUCGUGAUUACCCGCUGAACUUAAGCAUAU
rnacentral:misc_RNA from 1 species